rnacentral:rRNA from 1 species
AUUGAACGCUGGCGGCAGGCCUAACACAUGCAAGUCGAGCGGAUGAAGGGAGCUUGCUCCUGGAUUCAGCGGCGGACGGGUGAGUAAUGCCUAGGAAUCUGCCUGGUAGUGGGGGAUAACGUCCGGAAACGGGCGCUAAUACCGCAUACGUCCUGAGGGAGAAAGUGGGGGAUCUUCGGACCUCACGCUAUCAGAUGAGCCUAGGUCGGAUUAGCUAGUUGGUGGGGUAAAGGCCUACCAAGGCGACGAUCCGUAACUGGUCUGAGAGGAUGAUCAGUCAAACUGGAACUGAGACACGGUCCAGACUCCUACGGGAGGCAGCAGUGGGGAAUAUUGGACAAUGGGCGAAAGCCUGAUCCAGCCAUGCCGCGUGUGCGAAGAAGGUCUUCGGAUUGUAAAGCACUUUAAGUUGGGAGGAAGGGCAGUAAGUUAAUACCUUGCUGUUUUGACGUUACCAACAGAAUAAGCACCGGCUAACUUCGUG